AAUCAACGCUGGCGGCGUGCCUAACACAUGCAAGUCGAACGCGAAAGGGGCUUCGGUCCUGAGUAGAGUGGCGAACGGGUGAGUAACACGUGGGUGAUCUACCUUUGAGUGGGGGAUAAC
rnacentral:rRNA from 1 species